GAUGAACGCUAGCGGCAGGCCUAAUACAUGCAAGUCGAGGGGCAGCGCGGUAGCAAUACUGGCGGCGACCGGCGCACGGGUGCGUAACACGUAUGCAACCUACCUUCAACUGGAGGAUAGCCCGGGGAAACUCGGAUUAAAUACUCCAUAAUACAGGGAUCCCGCAUGGGAAUAUUGUUAAAAGCUACGGCGGUUGAAGAUGGGCAUGCGUUCGAUUAGCUAGUUGGUGUAGGUAACGGCUCACCAAGGCUACGAUCGAUAGGGGGUCUGAGAGGAUGAUCCCCCACACUGGUACUGAGAUACGGACCAGACUCCUACGGGAGCAGCAGUAGGGAAUAUGGUCAAAUGGGCGCAAAGCCUGAACCAGCCAUGCCGCGUGCAGGAAGAAAGGCCCUUCUGGGGUUGUAAAACUGCUUUUGAUAGGGAACAAAUGCCACUUGCGAGUGGAGCUGAGUGUACCUAUAGAAUAAGCACCGGGCUAAACUCCGUGCCAGCAG
rnacentral:rRNA from 1 species